UUCUCUCAGCCCCUCCUAUGUGUCUGCAGCUAUACCCUGCCUGCACCACAGGAGACAGAGCAGCAUUGGUGAGAAUCUACGAAAAAGAACUAUUUAUCUGGCUGAGGACAGUACAGCAUUUGAGCCUACACUUCCAGAGACCCCAUGGAAAGAAGAACCAAUGUGUAAUUGUCCAUAGAAACAUGGAUAUAAUAACGAUGCCGGAGUACCAGGAAGCAUGUUGGCCUCUGAAGAUAAUAUGGGAACGCAUUAACCAUGCAUACAGUUCAGAUACUCCUCCUAAGGACUGGGGACUUCAAAAAGGGGACUACGGCCUCCAAAUGUGGGUAUUCCCAUCUAACAACGAAAAAUACUAUGUGGUCUGGGAUUCUCACUGCUCCUAUUGGAAGGUGAACACUCCGUUUGGACAGUGUUUAUUUUUUAUAGGACCACUAUUCAUCAAUAAAGACAGGACGGGUCUAGCUGUACCCCCGUUAUUCAGUGUCAACCAGUCAGAUACAGAUACACUGAUACCGGCCUCCCUUCCAAUGGUGACAGAGCAAAUGCAUAACAUUUUGAAUUUUGUAGUUAAGCCUUACAGCAGCAAAGCAUCCUGAGAUACAAACUGUAUGCGUUCCAUAGCGAUUGAUUAUAACCCAUUGUUUUAAGUCAAAUGCAAACAUUUACUUUUCUAAUUGGGCGCCUUUUGGAACCAUACAUGGGAUGGGGAUGUCUUUUACUCCACAAGUUCGUCUUUCGCACCGGAAUCGCAAAAGCCAAUGUAAUUGAGCCAUAACUUUUAGAGGUGGGGCUCUUCAUGUCCGCUUACAUAUCGCCCAACAUACGUGAAAUGACGUAAGCAGAUAAUGCACUGAUGAAUGUGGAAACGCAGAAGGGUGUGUACCCUUGUGUACACCUAGUGAACACAUAGGCCCAUGUGUAGAGAAUAAUUUGCUCUGCGCCAAUGUGAUUUUCAAGUAUCCCAAUGUCAUCAUUCAUGGUUAGGAGAUAUUGGACUGCGAUGUGCUGCAACGGCUGCCGCAUGCGAUCAACGGCCACUUCUGGGGGGGGGGGGGGUUCCCAAUAUUGGUAAAUUUGGCUGCAUCGCUUCCCCCAUAGAAACCUAUGAGGGAUGCAGCUGCCGGUAAGGAUGGAGGGAUCUGCAAGGAUCAGGUCUCUGGCGGUGGCACUGUCCCUGCAUCUGGCUAUCAGAAUGCCACUAUUAUUACUGCAGUGCCUCCUGGAAUGUCUUUUGUAUGCUGCAGAGAUGCACUGCAGCAUAUACAGCCCCCUGUAGCAUCCACAGUGCUAUUAUUCCUGGCGGCCCCGCCCCCUCAGUAUAACAUGCACUUAGUGGGCGUGGCCAGCACAUGGCGCAGUAAAGCCCUGUCACAGUGCUGCUAAUGAGGGUAAAAUGACUCCAGGUAACCUCACUAGGUAGGGCUUCUUGAUACCUCCCACUACCUUUUAAUAUGCCGUUUGUAAUCUACUCCCUUGUUUUUUAAUCUAUGUGUCUGAAAAAGAAAAUGUUUUAAAUAAUAAAGGGAUGUCCUCCA